rnacentral:rRNA from 1 species
AAUCAACGCUGGCGGCGUGCCUAACACAUGCAAGUCGAACGCGAAAGUCCCGCAAGGGAUCAGUAGAGUGGCAAACGGGUGAGUAACGCGUGGGCGACCUACCUUCGAGUGGGGGAUAACCUUCCGAAAGGAGGGCUAAUACCGCAUGACAUCCUCUGUUUAGAUACAGGGAAAUCAAAGCCGGGGAUCGCAAGACCUGGCGCUUGAAGAGGGGCCUGCGUCCGAUUAGCUAGUUGGCGAGGUAAUGGCUCACCAAGGCUCCGAUCGGUAUCCGGCCUGAGAGGGCGGACGGACACACUGGAACUGAGACACGGUCCAGACUCCUACGGGAGGCAGCAGUGGGGAAUUGUUCACAAUGGGCGCAAGCCUGAUGACGCAACGCCGCGUGGAGGAUGAAGACCUUCGGGUCGUAAACUCCUUUCGACCGAGAUGAAUUUCCGCCGGCCUAACACGCCGGCGGAGUGACAGUAUCGAGGGAAGAAGCCCCGGCUAACCCUGUGC